rnacentral:tRNA from 1 species
GAGCUGGAGCUCAGUGGCAGAGUGCUUGCCUAGCAUGCAUGAGGCACUGGGUUUGAUCCUCAGCACCACA